rnacentral:rRNA from 1 species
CCUAGGGUGGCUGCAGUAGGGAAUUUUGCGCAAUGGGCGAAAGCCUGACGCAGCAACGCCGCGUGAUUGAUUAAGCCCUUCGGGGUGUAAAGAUCUGUCAGUGGGGACGAAACUUGACGGUACCCACAGAGGAAGCACCGGCUAACUCCGUGCCAGCAGCCGCGGUAAUACGGAGGUCCGGGCGUUAUCCGGAUUUAUUGGGUUUAAAGGGAGCGUAGGCCGGCUUUUAAGUCAGCUGUGAAAGUCCGCGGCUCAACCGUGGAAUUGCAGUUGAAACUGGAGGCCUUGAGUGCACACAGGGAUGCCGGAAUUCAUGGUGUAGCGGUGAAAUGCUUAGAUAUCAUGAAGAACUCCGAGCGCGAAGGCAAGUGUCCGGGGUGCAACUGACGCUGAGGCUCGAAAGUGCGGGUAUCAAACAGGAUUAGAUACCCUUGUAGUC